rnacentral:tRNA from 1 species
GCGGCGUUGUGGGCGAUCGGCGCCUUGGCGUGGCGGCACGCGGCCGCGCGGGUGCGGGCGACGCUCGAACGCAUCCAGUUCGAAACCGGAGGUGUCGCA